GCUUAACGCGAAGAACCUUACCUGGGCUCGAACGGCGGACGACGUCUCUUAGAAAUAGGAGAGUUUCCUUCAGGAACGGCCGUCGAGGUGCUGCAUGGCUGUCGUCAGCUCGUGUCGUGAGAUGUUGGGUUAAGUCCCGCAACGAGCGCAACCCUUGUCCUGUGUUGCUAAUCUUCGGAUGCACUCUCAGGAGACCGCCAGCGACAAGCUGGAGGAAGGUGGGGAUGAUGUCAAGUCAGCAUGGCCUUUAUGUCCAGGGCUACACACGUGCUACAAUGGGCAGGACAGACCGUUGCAAACCCGCGAGGGGGAGCUAAUCGGAGAAACCUGUUCUCAGUUCGGAUUGCAGGCUGCAACUCGCCUGCAUGAAGCUGGAAUCGCCAGUAAUGGCAGAUCAGCAUGCUGCCGUGAAUACGUUCCCGGGUCUUGUACACACCG
rnacentral:rRNA from 1 species